AAGGAUCAUUAAUGAAUUUUGGAGUUCUACUGUGCCUGCCGUUCAUUUGGAUGUGUGCACGUAGUCUCUAUAAAUCCUUAUCAACACCUGUGCACCUUUAAAAAGGGGAAACUGAUUAAGCUUUUUACGGGCUUAUGAGGAGUAACCUUUUUUCUUAUACAAACUCUUAAUGUCUAUUAGAAUGUUCUCUGGCCGCAAGGCUAUAAAAUAUAAACAACUUUUAACAACGGAUCUCUUGGCUCUCGCAUCGAUGAAGAACGCAGCGAAAUGCGAUAAGUAAUGUGAAUUGCAGAAUUCAGUGAAUCAUCGAAUCUUUGAACGCACCUUGCACUCCUUGGUAUUCCGAGGAGUACGCCUGUUCGAGUGUUAUGAAGCUCUCAAAACGCAAUUGGCUUAAAAUCUGAUUGUUGUUUUGGAUUUGAACUUUGCCGUGUUAUAACGGCUGGUUUUAAAAGUAUUAGCUGGUACUAGAACGAAUUGGUUCUACUCAACGUGAUAAUUAUCUGAUCGUUGAGGACAUUCCUUUCACGAGGAAUGGCCAUAGUAAAUUCAAUGGACUGCUUCUAAUCUGGCUUUAAUUCUUUAUUGGAUUAACCACUUUUCAAAUCUGACCUCGAAUCAGGUGGGACUACCCGCUGAACUUAAGCAUAUCAAUAAGCGGAGGAAAAGAAACUAACAAGGAUUCCCCUAGUAACGGCGAGUGAAGCGGGAUGAGCUCAAAUUUAAAAUCUGAUAGUCUUUGGCUGUCCGAGUUGUAAUCUAGAGAAGUGUUUUCCGCGUUGGACCAUGUACAAGUUUCCUGGAACGGAACGUCAUAGAGGGUGAGAAUCCCGUCCUUGACAUGGACUACCAGUGCUUUGUGAUACACUCUCAACGAGUCGAGUUGUUUGGGAUUGCAGCUCAAAAUGGGAGGUAAAUUCCUUCUAAAGCUAAAUAUUGGCGAGAGACCGAUAGCGAACAAGUACCGUGAGGGAAAGAUGAAAAGCACUUUGGAAAGAGAGUUAAACGGUACGUGAAAUUGUUAAAAGGGAAACGAUUGAAGUCAGUCGCGUUUACUUGGACUCAGCCUUACCUCGGUUUGGUGCAUUUCCUUGUGAACGGGCCAGCGUCAAUGUUGUCCGUUGGAAAAGGGUUGGAGAAAUGUGGCUCUUUCGGGAGUGUUAUAGUCUCUGAUCGUAUACAACGGC
rnacentral:rRNA from 1 species